CUUUCCAUGGCUCCGUUGGAUGGAGCGGCGGUUUCCUAAACCGCAGGCCACAGGUUCGCUUCCUGUCGGGGUUA
rnacentral:tRNA from 1 species